UACGUAGGGUCCGAGCGUUGUCCGGAAUUAUUGGGCGUAAAGGGCGCGUAGGCGGCUUAACAAGUCACUUGUGAAAUCUCUGGGCUUAACCCAGAACGGCCAAGUGAAACUGUUAUGCUAGAGUGCAGAAGGGGCAAUCGGAAUUCUUGGUGUAGCGGUGAAAUGCGUAGAUAUCAAGAGGAACACCUGAGGUGAAGACGGGUUGCUGGGCUGACACUGACGCUGAGGCGCGAAAGCCAGGGGAGCAAACGGG
rnacentral:rRNA from 1 species